UACGAAGGGGGCUAGCGUUGCUCGGAAUUACUGGGCGUAAAGCGCACGUAGGCGGCUUCUUAAGUCGGUGGUGAAAUCCUGGAGCUCAACUCCAGAACUGCCUUCGAUACUGGGAGCUCGAGUCCGGGAGAGGUGAGUGGAACUGCGAGUGUAGAGGUGAAAUUCGUAGAUAUUCGCAAGAACACCAGUGGCGAAGGCGGCUCACUGGCCCGGUACUGACGCUGAGGUGCGAAAGCGUGGGAGCA
rnacentral:rRNA from 1 species